rnacentral:pre_miRNA from 1 species
GAUUUCAGCUGAAAAAGUCAUCAGCAACAAAGUUGUAUAACCCAUCAAGAUUUAUAACUUCUAUUUUGGUCAUUUCUUCAUCCAACAAAGUGAUAGUAACAUUUUCACAAAAUUUACAGUUUAUAAAACUAUAUUAGAGAUAUGUACAUUUUGUGAACAAUUUUACAAAUCACUUUGUGGGAUGAAGAAAUGACCAAAAUAGAAGUUAUAUAUAUUGAUGAGUUAUACAACUUUGUUAUUGAUGACUUUUUCAGUUGAAAUC